CAAGGCUCAGCGCGGCGGGGCCCAGCUGGGGCAGGAUCAAAGGGCUCGGGGAAUUUUUCUCCAUCCGUCCCACAGACUUGCAUUGAGAAAGCUAACCUACCUGUAAAACAGCUAGGAACGAAUGGCCUUGGCAAAUAGGGUGUGAGAUUUAUGUGCCAUGAUAAUUCAGGUGGUGUAAAGGAGGACCUCUUUAUACUCCUGGAAAUUACUGAGGACUCCAAAGAACUUUUGUUUAUGUGGGUUAUUUAUCGAUAUUUGCUGUAUUAGAAAUUAAAGCAGAAUUUUUAAAAUGUA